rnacentral:miRNA from 1 species
GCACUGUAGAUGGAGGGGCUGC